UACAGAGGGUGCAAGCGUUGUUCGGAAUUAUUGGGCGUAAAGCGCGUGUAGGCGGCUUUGCAAGUCGGGUGUGAAAGCCCUCGGCUCAACCGAGGAAGUGCGCCCGAAACUGCAGAGCUUGAGUACCGGAGAGGAUGGCGGAAUUCCCCAAGUAGAGGUGAAAUUCGUAGAUAUGGGGAGGAACACCAGUGGCGAAGGCGGCACGCUGGACCUUUUCUGACGCUGAGGCGCGAAAGCCAGGGGAGCAAACGGG
rnacentral:rRNA from 1 species